UUUAGCCAUUUAGUUCUCAUGGCUCUGUUCCAGGACUCUUUAAUUUGCCAGUAGCUGUUUUUCCUACACAGAUUACAGGAGUAAUUCAUCAGUGAAUGUUUCACUCAGUGGUCCCAUCUAAUGUGUCUUCAGAUGUCCAACUCUUGCCACAAGAAUGACAACUUUUCCACUUCUAUUCAAACAUCUACGAAACUCCUACAAAAUUGAUGUGGAAGGAAACUGGAGCACCCAGAGAAAACCCAUAAAGACAUGGGAAGAAAGUGCAAACUCCACACAGAUGGUGGCCUCGGCCCAGAAUCAUUUUUUUUUUCUUAUCAACGUUAUAAAGAAACAACAUUGAACAAAAAGAUGUUAUUUGAGGACCUGCUGCACUCUUCAACCCUGAUCAUUAAUGGGAACUAGAAAAAGCAGAGUGAAAAUGCACCUGACAAUAUAAAAAGUAAAUGACCUACAUGGAUUGCAGGAGGCCAACACAAUAA